CACUCAUCACUCAUCACUCAUCCACAUCGAGCGCCUCUCUCACACUCUCACAGACUCUCUCUCAAACUCUCCGUCUCAAACCUCUACUUCUCCGCCGCCAGCCGCCACAUCCGGCCGUUUUGGACCAGCAGAGACUUGCGACUACUCUUCUUCAGAGUCCAGACCAGUUGAUCUAUCUUCUCCGCCGCAGAUCAAGAUUUGUUCCGCCUCAGAUCGAGACUUGUUCCGCCGCAGAUCGAGACUGGUUGCUCCUCAGAUCGAGAGUUGUUCCGCGUGAGAUCGAGAGUUGUUACGCCUCAGAGGCUCAGAUCGAGUCAUCGAGACUUGUUGCUCCUCAGAUCGAGAGUUGUUCCGCCUCAGAGAUCGAGAGUUGUUACGCCUCAGAGGCUCAGAUCGAGACUUGUUCCUCCUCAGAUCCUCAGAUCGACGUUGACGCAGAAGGUGUGGUCGUUGGACUUCGUUCCAAGUCUUCGUCAUGCAUCCACCACCGACGCAGAAGUGCUUCCUUGAUCAAGCACUAAACUGGUGAUCUCCUCAGAGGCUCAGAGCUAAAAAAAAUGGUGACGUCGGGCUUAUCCACUCAGUGAGGUUCUUUAUUUGGUGAAGACUUGAUUGUG